AUUGAACGCUGGCGGCAGGCCUAACACAUGCAAGUCGAGCGAGCGGCGGACGGGUGAGUAAAGUCUGGGAAACUGCCCGUUGGAGGGGGAUAACUACUGGAAACGGUAGCGAAUAUCGCACACCACAAGAUGUGCCCAUAUGGGAUUAGCUAGUAGGUGGGGUAACGGCUCACCUAGGCGACGAUCCCUAGCUGGUCUGAGAGGAUGACCAGCCACACUGGAACUGAGACACGGUCCAGACUCCUACGGGAGGCAGCAGUGGGGAAUAUUGCACAAUGGGCGCAAGCCUGAUGCAGCCAUGCCGCGUGUGUGAAGAAGGCCUUCGGGUUGUAAAGCACUUUCAGCGGGGAGGCGUUACCCGCAGAAGAAGCACCGGCUAACUCCGUGCCAGCAGCCGCGGUAAUAC
rnacentral:rRNA from 1 species